rnacentral:lncRNA from 1 species
GUAUGGUCAGGCGUGGGCAGAGACCACCUCCCUCAUUGCCGCUUUGGGUUUGGACCGCUUUAAACAGUAAAGUGACUGUCGACGGCUCAGUCUACAGGGAGGAGAACAAAAGACAGGGUCAGGGCUGGGCAGACUGGACAGGGUAAGAUUCUGGCUCCCCUCACUUGCUAGUUGGAGGAGUGGGGAGGCGAGUUAUUAGUGCCUUUGGGCCCUGACCUUAUAGCCCUUCGUAGGGUGGUGUGCGAAUGUCCAGUGUCCAGUGCUGAAUGCUGAGGGACCCAGUAAGAGGAGGUGGCUAGAACUGGAGGGACAGUUUCCCAGAAGCCUGGGCUUUGGGAUAGCAGCUGGGGAGAGCAGAGUCACGCUAGGCUCUUGUCUAGUGACUGGAGCUGUCUGGGUCUCAGGUCUAAGGUCUUAUAGGGCAUCUGGUUGGUAUUAGUGCUACAUUCUGCUGAGGCUAUCGCCCACAUUGCCUGCAGCUGACCAUGUUCCUUCCCUCUCUCCCUUUUCUCCAGAGCAGCAUAAGCCAGGCUCUAUGGAAUGUUGGGUGAGCUGCUUGAGGAACUCCAAGGCCUGUCCCACAGUCUUCCAGCCUCCGACUCUCCGGCCCUCAGCGAGGUCAGCAGUGAGCUACUUUUGGAUCUGUUGGGAUCCCUGAGCCCGUGGUCCAGGGAGACUCUGAACAGGGAGAUCUUUUGUCAUGACAUGGUUGUCUCUUGUUGUGCAAGCAAGAGUCAGGGGACAAAUGACAUUGGCUUUAGCCCCCUGCCAGCAGUACCAGGGCCUCCAGGACGGGAGGGAAGGACCAGGCUGAGGCUGGCAUAGAAGUCCCACUGGUUUUUUUGGUUGGUUUUUGCUUCCCUCCCUCCCAGUGCUGAUUUCCUGUGGACCAGAUUCCAGCACAGUGGAGGGCCAGAGCUCAGGGAACAGACCCAGCAGCACAGCAAGUCUCCAAGGAAAGCUCUAGCAGUCUCCAGGGGCUGAAGGCAGGACUGGGGAAGCGGCUAGCCAGGCUGCAGAAGGCAAAUGCUCCCAGACGGCUGUCCAGCACGCAUCCGCCUUCCUAGCCAAGUUUCCUGGGCUCCUGCCACAGAUCUAAGCCUCAUCCUGACAUCCUGCCCUCUGUGCUCUGGGAUGGCCCAGGGGAGAUGCUUAGCCUUGGCUCCUUGUCUGCUGGUGGAGGGACCAAAAAGAAGACCUGACGUCAUCCUGAGCACCCCCGCCAUGCAGAGUGUGUUCGCAGACUGCCAACGGGCUGGCUCCGGCCAGCAGAAGUGAACAGAGGUGGAGGUUCAGCCUGACAGCUUCUCCCCAAAGCCAUGGAGAGAAAACCUUACCACCCCCACCGCCCAGCUACUUCCAGCAAGUUGUCCAGCCUGACCCCUCUAUUUCCCCUGUUGUCUCUUAUCUGGGUCCCUGAGACCCACCCCAUCUCCAAUAAAGAACAUUGCAUACUGUGCAUCAGUGUUGCCUUGGGUGUGCCAAC